GUCUCGGUAGUCUAAAGGCUUAGGACGCUCGCACGGAAUGCAGGAGAUCCGGGUUCGACUCCCGGCCGAGGCA
rfam:Trachymyrmex zeteki contig8800, whole genome shotgun sequence.